rnacentral:rRNA from 1 species
UUGGAGGGCAAGUCUGGUGCCAGCAGCCGCGGUAAUUCCAGCUCCAAUAGCGUAUAUUAAAGUUGCUGCAGUUAAAAAGCUCGUAGUUGAAUUUCGGGACCAAUAUGUCGGUCGUGCUUCUGUACGUACUGGCAUAAUUGGUUUCUCCCUUCUGAAGAACCUUGAUGUCAUUAAUUUGGUGUCUUGGGGAAUCAGGACUGUUACUUUGAAAAAAUUAGAGUGUUUAAAGCAGGCUCGCGCUUGAAUACAUUAGCAUGGAAUAAUGAAAUAGGACGUUUGAUUCUAUUUUGUUGGUUUCUAGGAUCGACGUAAUGAUUAAUAGGGAUAGUUGGGGGCAUUAGUAUUCAAUUGUCAGAGGUGAAAUUCUUGGAUUUAUUGAAGACUAACUACUGCGAAAGCAUUUGCCAAGGAUGUUUUCAUUAAUCAAGAACGAAAGUUAGGGGAUCGAAGACGAUCAGAUACCGUCGUAGUCUUAACCAUAAACUAUGCCGACUAGGGAUCGGAUGAUGUUAAUUUUUUAAUGACUCAUUCGGCGCCUUACGGGAAAC